rnacentral:rRNA from 1 species
UACGGGGGGGGCAAGCGUUGUUCGGAAUUACUGGGCGUAAAGGGCUCGUAGGCGGCUAACUAAGUCAGAUGUGAAAUCCCUCGGCUUAACCGGGGAACUGCGUCUGAUACUGGAUGGCUUGAGAUUGGGAGAGGGAUGCGGAAUUCCAGGUGUAGCGGUGAAAUGCGUAGAUAUCUGGAGGAAUACCGGUGGCGAAGGCGGCAUCCUGGACCGGCAUUGACGCUGAUGAGCGAAAGCUAGGGGAGCAAACGGG